GGAACUUUAGUUUAGUUAAAAUAUCUGUGUUGCAAGCAGAGGAUGUAGUGAUACUGCAAGUUCUGG
rnacentral:tRNA from 1 species